UCUAGAAGUUUUUUGCAUUCCUGACACACUCACAGUGACACAGUUCAGUGCCGUUGUGAGCCAGUGAUCUCUGUGGCCUGUGGCAAGGCUACACACUACACACACACAGCGACUUACUAACAAUCAACGUAUUCAUUUCAAGUACCGAGGUGUGUCUCUUGUGGGAACGAUUUUUUUAGCGUGGGUUUUGCGCUGCUAAGACUGGACAUCGUUGUAAUUUACAGACGUGCACUCAUAGACGGAAAGACAAAGUCCAGCUAUGUCUUCGGAAAGAGUAACCAACACCACCUACUUCUACAAGAUACGUAAAGUCAUGGACUUACCCCAACAUGUUCGUACCAGGUACUCCCCUGACGCUUGGUUCCUGGGAAACUUGGGGUUCCGUGCAUACUACAUCAUUUCUGUGUGGUCUUCAAGCGGCAUAACGCUAGGCAUGUACAUGAGCCAUUGUCAUUCCACCAUGGGCCAGCCCGUCAGAGGGCGCAUUGGUCUGGUAGAUCUGUCGGAGCGGAAAAAUCCCUCUGUCUUACUGGCUGAUGAGACAAGGGGGGAUGCAGAGGACUGGGCGAGGGGUGUGGAGAUCGAAGUGGAUUUGGACCGUCAUAAGAAAUAUUCUUCUCAUGGAGCAUAUUUGUUCAGGUUUGAUGUGGAGUAUGCUUAGAUGUAAAUAAAAGUUGAAGUUAUUUUGGCAGGCAUUGUUUUUGGUUAUUACUAGAAUAUCAGAAUUAUUGGUAUACCUCUUUUCCUGAAAAUAACAGGACUAACUAUUCUUUUCUUUUGGUAAUUGUAACAUCUCUGUUGUGAAAAACCACUGAUGGUGUUGUGCUUUAACUGUGUAGGUGGAAAAGAUGAGUCACCUUUUUUUUUCCUAAAACAAUUGCUGAGGUUUAUCUGCCGGUCCUCAGAAGAAAUCGAGAGUCAGCAUUUGCUAUAAAUAGUAUUAUUAAGUACUGUAAGCUAAGUGUUGAGUUACUCUCACCUUUUGAUUCAGAAUAGUUUUUUUCUUUUUACCUCUUGAAUAAUUUGGAAGAAGCCAAUUACAUGGAUAAAGCAGAACACCGUUAAUGAUGGUCAGCUUACGCCCAUUUCCUCAGGUAUCCAGUGUGUUUUUUUGUUUGUUGAACUCUUGAGAUAUGAUAGUGACUGAGCUCCAUAAUUGGCCUUUGAUGUAAAGAUGUAUGCAGCUAAGUAAUUAAAUAAAGACAUUUUAUUUUGCUGAAAUUACAAAUCUGCAGAAUUUAUAUAUUUUUAAACUGGAUUCAUAGAUUAGUGAAAGAACUUCGUUUUCAUCUGGAUCUAGCUAGAGACCACAUCUGUUUGUGCUUCUCUUCAUAUUGUACCAAUGCACAUUGUUUUUAAUUCUAUUUACAAAUGUCUGUGUUCAUUUCUCUCUCUCUCUCUCUCUCUCUCUCUCUCUCUCUCUCUCUCUCUCUCUCUCCCUCUCUCCCUCUCUCCCUCUCUCUCUCUCUCUCUCUCUCUCUCUCUUGAAAAAUGCACGGCAAAAAGUGACACCAGAACAACUUACUAAGAGGAGAAACCUGAAUUGAUGGGUGAAUUGAAAAUAACAGGACCGUGUAGGUUUUUUGAAAGCAUCCAUGUAGAGCAGUGAAUGGAGAAUGAUGAUCCCUGAUAUAUCUGUCUGUUUCAGAUUUGUCAAAUUGCACAGUCUUCAAUUCAGUUCUCAGUCUUAUUUUGAUAUUCUAUCAUGUGGGGUUUUUUUUUAACAGUCUGAGACUUUUUUGGGGUUUUCUUUUUAAUAUUAUUUUGGUGCAAAUUUAGACGCUAUGUAAUGUUUAUAAUGCAUAUUUUUAUUUGCCGUUGCAAACUCAUUUUAUACACUAUGAGAGAUGAUGCCUGUAGGUGUUUUAAGAGAUUGUCAACUUUUUGUGUGUAUUAUUUUACAUCGUAAGGGAUUUGUGAUUUUAAAAAAAGUUUGCUCACAUAUUAUUUAUGGUUGUGAUUGUAAAAUUGUGAAUGUGAAGUUGUUUUUGGAUGUAUUUUUUUUUGUAGUUUGGGUGGGGGUAUUUUGGAACUUUUAUGGAAGCUCCGUCUCCUGCUUAUGUCAGGACAAAACAGUGUAGUAACACGUCUUUUUAUUGUAAUUGAACCUCAGUUGAUAUGAGGGAAAUAGCAUGGAAUUUGACCCCGAAGUUGUGAACGGAUCUAUGGGAGUUAAUCUCUGAAGUACCUAUGUGGAUAUAAAGGUACUGCAGACAUUUUGAAGGAACAGACUUUGACGUCUUAAGCCUGUUUAUGGUUCUUGGCUUUUAUACAAAGAUAUGGUUGAUGUUUUGAAGAAACAAACUCUGAAGUUGUAAAUAAAUGUAAUGUUUUACAGUUGUAACACGUGUGGUGAGGUUUGAUGUCCAAGUGAUUAUAACAUUUAAAAAUAGUAUAUUGUCAGCAUCAUUCUACAUUUUUACCGAAAUCAAUUUUUAAAUGUGUCCAGAUGAAGCCAUAUAUCUGAAUAAAGACAUCAGGAGGCGUUUCACAAUGCAGUUUCGUGCUGUUUCUUUAAUUCAGUUCUUGGUUUUAAUCAAAUAACAAAUCAUAAAAACCCAAGUCACGUUUCUGAUUUGGGCUAUCCCUUUUGCUUUAAUUUUCUCAAAACUUCAAACAUGACUUGUUGAAUGACGCUAAUGAUAUUCUUAUUGCAUCAGUCAGCUCAUGAAGCUGACUAGGAUCAUGAGGAAAACAUUUCUCUAUGGUGCCGUCAUAAUCUGGUUUGUUAGAGAGGUAAAUGAGACAGGCUCUUGUUCAAUUUUUUUUUUUCAAGUUUAUUUUGCCUACUACUGGUUGGUCCUACUUCUUUUCUUUCCUUUUGUAUUUUCUGUCCACUUUUUCUGUGUACUUAAUGACUGUCAUCUUGUCAAUGUGCUUCUUCUUAUAACCCAAACUAAUGCUGUAUUGGUAACUUGUCUUUAGGAAGGUGAUUGUUUUAUUUUCUAGAUUUAGGAUAAGGUGUGUGUGUGCUUGCAUGUGUGCAUAAGAUGUCCUGUUAUUGCAAUAAUAAACAACUUUUACCAUCCUUGGAUGAGAAUGUAUUGUCACAUAUGUAAUAUACAAUAUUCACUGAGCACUGGGAUCUUAGGCGGAGACUAUUGUAUAUAUAUAUAUUUUAUACCUCUGUGAAAUUCAUGACUUGUUUCUUUCUGCUUCGCUUGUUUUUGGUACAAUUAUUUAAAAUGUCAUAGAUUGUAAUUUAUGGUUACAGGUGGAUGGUGAGCACCACUGGUACGUCUCACUUUUAUUCUUUUCAAUACAUUGUCUCUGCCUGUCUAUCUUGCCUUUUCUAUAAUUUAAUAUGCUAAGUGACCAUAUUCGUAUCAACCAAUGUACUCAAUCCCAGAACUUACAGUAAUUUUGAGGGUUUUGUUUUGUAUAGACUUUUUAUACAGUCCCUAAACAAAAUUUUAAUAUGAAUUCACUGAGCCCUGGACCUCUUGUACAUGUGUACAGAACAUCAGCCACUGAGCUCCUGGGAGAAAUCUCCUCCACUCACACCACUUAAUUCUGAAGCAAUUUUGAUGGAUGAAGGGCAAAGGUUGUGCAUGCUGUGUUGUGCACUUGUGCUCAGGUGGAUUAAUAUGUUAAUGUAAGAAUGUUUUUUAUAAAGCCACAUACAUAGGCCACCAUGCAUUGUCCGUUUGUUUAUCUUUAUGUCUUAAUUUGUAGCUUGAGUCCUUUGUAUUAUCUGUUGUGGUCUUGAAUGCUAUUUUUUUCCCCCUUUAAAGCGAUGUGUACAUGAUGCUCGUAGACAUCGUCUGUUAGUGCAUGAAUGGCUGGCUUACCAUUAGACCUAUACAUUUUUUUGCGUCUUUGAAAUCAUUUUAUUUAUAUUAUCUUCUUUGAUCAAGCUGCAAGGUUAAUUGGUAUCAUGCUGGACUGUGGCUUCAGCAAGCCUGGUUCAAAUCCUCAAAGGGGGCAGUGUUAAGCUAAUUGAGGAGAUUCCUUAACUGAAUUUGUUGUUUUGAAAAUUAUGCUUUCAUACCUUGCCAUACCAACCAUUAUUUAUUCUAUUGUGCCACUGUUUCUGUGAUUGGUUAUCUUUUAAAAGAAGCAGUACUUUGAAAUUCAUACAGAUUUUUCAAUCCUCUUUUCUUCAUCUGAAAUGGCAAGCAAUAACAUGCAUACUAUGAAAUGUGUGAAUUCAUGUUUCUGAUUUGUGUCCGACGGUUCGAAAUGUGCCUCAACAUUAUUUUGGUAUACUGCUCGUCCGACAUGUGUCCACUGUAUCCGUAAAGAGUUAAAAAUCAUUCUGUGAGACCUUCAUUAUGUAGGUAAAAGGAACUUUUCCAAGAGCGAAUGAGGAAAUGUGAAGUGUGCAAUACAUAUAAAUGUGAAAAAGCUGAGUGUUUACAAUUUUGAUUUUACUGGGGAUUUUUUGUUAAAGAUCUGAAUUCUGUUGCUUACAUGUAGCCUGUUUUGAGUACCCUCUGCUUUCUAGAAUUAAUCAAAUGCUUCAGCUUUGGCUUAGUUUAGUAGCUCAUAUUUUAUUUUUAAAAGUUGAUCAUAAGUAACUUUUGUACCAGAAUGGAUUUAUCUUUUUUUUUGGUUUUAUUUUGGGUGUUUUGAUUGGGGGGAUGAGCAUCUGAAUAAAGAAAUGAAUCGCAGACCUUGUCUGUUUGAGAUCCGGCUCUAGAACGAGAAGAACAUUUCUGCCAACUCACUUAAUCUUAAAAGUAGGCCUAUCAUUAUCUUCUCCUGCUCCUGACCCAGUCUGCCUGUAAGACCAGACUCAGACUCUGAGAACACACCAAAUUGGACUGGACGGAAUGAAGAUUCUCUUUCUAUUAUAUGUCAUCAAAUCAAUAUAAUCUGAUCUCCCCUGCAGAACUGACACCUUUCUUUUUCUGAUGCAUAGACCUAUUCCGUAUAAGUAAUUAUGACCUAAUCUUUUGUUCACCGUGCCAUAUUGUUUUGUAUAUUUACUUUGGACAAAUUGUCUGGAAACCACUCUGGCAUGGACAGGAUUAAAGAAAACUUGCACAUACCUUGUUCUGAUUGUGGACCAAAGGGCGAAAAUGUGCGGAAUAGCAACAACAACAACAGCAACCUUUGUGAAAAGAAAUUGACUUUAAAUUGGUGUCUCCCUUUUCUCAUUCUAUUACUAAUGAUUACGGUAUGCUCAAGGUUAAUUAUGAUUUUUAUUUUCGUCCUGAAGACUGGUGUUAGCUUGAAAUUAGUGCUUUAAAAUAUUUCUCCUUCUCCUGUGAGAUGUGAGUUUUUGUGUAUAAAUUGAAUAUUUAGACACCAAUAAUCAUAGUUCUUGUAUAAUGGAGCUCUUCUUAAUUAUAAUUAUAAAAAUGCAUAGUCCUCAUGAAGGGUACUAAUAGAAAUUGCUUGUAGACUGGGCUGCAUUGGAAAUUGAUCAUUGCUGUUGGUGUUUUGCAGAAUGUUUUGGAAUGAUACACGUAUUUUGCUCAGAAAACAUUUUUUGGGUAUGAAACUAUUAUACAUCUAUGCACUCAGGCAGACAUGCUGUACAUACAUAUUCAAAGAAUUUCUUUCAUAAUUUUUAUCCUUACUUUGCUUUAUAAUUAGUAUGUUUAGUAUGUUGUACACAUACUUGUUAUAUUUUUUAUUGCGAUAUAUUUCCCUCCUUUUGACUAUCGUUCCAUUUUGUCUAAUUUGUCAGCAUGGUAGUUUUAAUAAACACUACGUAGUACUCAUGA